rnacentral:rRNA from 1 species
AGAGUUUGAUCCUGGCUCAGAGUGAACGCUGGCGGUGUGGAUUAGGCAUGCAAGUCGAGCGAUGGUGUGUUUACACACCAUAGCGGCAAACGGGUGAGGAAUACGUGAAUAAUCUUCCCCGAAGUCGGACAUAGCAUUGUGAAAACGGUGGUAAUUUCCGAUAGUUCCUUGAUAACACAUGUUGUCUUGGAUAAAAGUGGGGACCGUAAGGCCCACUGCUUUGGGAUGAAUUCGCGUCCUAUCAGCUUGUUGGUGAGGUAAUGGCUCACCAAGGCGUAUGACGGGUAGCCGGCCUGAGAGGGUGUUCGGCCACACUGGGACUGAGACACUGCCCAGACUCCUACGGGAGGCUGCAGUCGAGAAUCUUUAGCAAUGGACGAAAGUCUGACUAUGCGACGCCGCGUGCAGGAUGAAGGUUUUCGGAUCAUAAACUGCUUUUGUUAGGAGAGAAACCUUAAUGGUUAAUACCCAUUAAGCUGACGGUACCUAACGAAUAAGCCACGGCCAACUCCGUGCCAGCAGCCGCGGUAAUACGGAGGUGGCAAGCGUUACUCGGAAUCAUUGGGUGUAAAGGGCAAGUAGGCGGCCUAUUAAGUGAGGGGUGAAAUCUUCCGACUCAAUCGGAAAACUGCCUUUCAAACUAAUAGGCUUGAGGCUGGAAGAGGAAAGCGGAAUUAGCAGUGUAAGGGUGAAAUCUGUUGAUAUUGCUAAGAACGCCAACGGCGAAGGCAGCUUUCUGGUCCAGUUCUGACGCUCAAUUGCGAAAGCUAGGGUAGCGAACAGAAUUAGAUACUCUGGUAGUCCUAGCCGUAAACGAUGAGCACUAGGUGUUGGGACUUCGGUCUCAGUGCCGCAGCUAACGCAUUAAGUGCUCCACCUGGGGACUACGGCCGCAAGGCUAAAACUCAAAGGAAUUGACGGGGACCCGCACAAGCGGUGGAACAUGUGGUUUAAUUCGAUGCUACGCGAAGAACCUCACCAGGGCUUGACAUGUAGGAAGUAGUGAACCGAAAGGGGAACGACCCGUUAAGUCCGGGAACCUACACAGGUGCUGCAUGGCUGUCGUCAGCUCGUGUCGUGAGAUGUUGGGUUAAGUCCCGCAACGAGCGCAACCAUUGCCCCAUGUUGCUACCUUCGAUGCUCUGCUUGCAGAGCGCGGAGGGCACUCUUGGGGGACUGCCCGGAAUAACCGGGAGGAAGGUGUAGAUGACGUCAAGUCAGUACGGCCCUUAUGUCCUGGGCUACACACGUGUUACAAUGGAUGGUACAAAGGGUUGCCAACCCGCGAGGGGGAGCUAAUCUCAAAAAACUGUCCUCAGUUCGGAUAGAAGUCUGCAAUUCGACUUCUUGAAGCCGGAAUCGCUAGUAAUGGGAGAUCAGCUCGCUCCCGUGAAUACGUUCCCGGGUCUUGUACACACCGCCCGUCAAGCGAUGAAGCCGGAAGUACCCGAAGUCCUAUGUAGAUAGGCCGAAGGUAAAGCUGGUGAUUGGCGCUAAGUCGUAACAAGGUA